GACGAACGCUGGCGGCGUGCUUAACACAUGCAAGUCGAACGGAAAGGCCCUGCUUUUGUGGGGUGCUCGAGUGGCGAACGGGUGAGUAACACGUGAGUAACCUGCCCUUGACUUUGGGAUAACUUCAGGAAACUGGGGCUAAUACCGGAUAGGAGCUCCUGCUGCAUGGUGGGGGUUGGAAAGUUUCGGCGGUUGGGGAUGGACGCGCGGCUUAUCAGCUUGUUGGUGGGGGAGUGGCUUACCAAGGCUUUGACGGGUAGCCGGCCGGAGAGGGUGACCGGCCACAUUGGGACUGAGAUACGGCCCAGACUCCUACGGGAGGCAGCAGUGGGGAAUAUUGCACAAUGGGCGGAAGCCUGAUGCAGCAACGCCGCGUGCGGGAUGACGGCCUUCGGGUUGUAAACCGCUUUCGCCUGUGACGAAGCGUGAGUGACGGUAAUGGGUAAAGAAGCACCGGCUAACUACGUG
rnacentral:rRNA from 1 species